GCAGGUCUUCUCCAGGCCACCUCCAGAGUCGGAUGAUUUGAGGUACCAUGAGCCGGUGUGGAGCCAAGUUUGGAAACGGUGUAAGAGACAGUCCAAAGAUCCCUCAUCUGCCUCAGGAUCAUUGCCGAGGACAGAGACUGAGCACAGGAGUCCUGGCCUGGCUGAGGUGGGAAGGACUGCGCUGAAGGGGAAAGGAAUGACCUGUCCUGUACACCUCUCCUGUACACCUGUCUUGUACGUCUGUCCUGUACCCAUUUCCCAAAGCAACGGACCCCAUAACAACAGCUGUAGGUUUCCCAACCUCUUGGCCAGUUGCCCCUCACUUCUGAAAAGGACAUAAAGGGACUUUCUGAAAUAACCGCGUCUGAGAUCUCCCCACGGAAAGAAGACGAAUCUAUUGGCGGAAGACCAUGUGGACUUCGUCUCAUCUGUUGGUAGCUAUUGCCCCCCUCUUUUUCUUCCUCUCUGUGUUUCCUUCUCUCUCUCUCUCUUUCUCUCUUCUAUUGCG